GAACUACUGGCGCUUAUUACCGCAACACAACUCAGAAAAUAAAAUAUUGAUACGAUACCACAUUGUGAGACUUUUGGUUGUAAUUUUCAGUCGAAGGGCAACAAAAGAAGCGAUGCAAUGUAAGACUUCACUGCUUUCCUAGCGAUAAGAAGAGGAGAAAAGAAUGGGAAGAUGCCUGUGGACGAAAAAAACUUCCUAAAGACCCGCUUCUUUUUUCUCUCCACUUUAGCCCUGAUGCCUUUGAGUCUUUUAGUAGACCACAGCUACUGAAAGAGCUUACAAACGGCUGAAACAAGAAACGCUAGAUGCCAUAUGUUAGGAUGUAAACAUGCCGACGCGCGGCCGCUAGAGGAGUUUCUCAGCGCGGACUUCCCUCGAUAUCCGGGGCGUUUACACUCCUUGUGGGGAAAAAUCGAUGGUACAGCAUUUGGUUUAAACCUUUACUUAUUUUCUAUCAUUAAAGUUAUGUGUAACCCACCAUUGCUAGGUCUGAGCUCACGAGGCACCAUUUGUUGUAGAAAAGGAACGAAUUUCACAAGUACAGAGUCAUUGGAGAACUUAGUGUGAACGUAAUGUGCUGAACGUAAUGUGCUGAAUGUUUCCGUUGUCCUGGAAGAGGAGGUGGUACUUGACAAAUUAGGAGACUUUGUAAAUGCAUUUAUCGUGCUUUUUUGGCUUAUUGUAUGCACUCAUCCGGGAGUACAACAAGGACUUAAAGGGAUAGUUUACCCAAAAAUGAAAAUUAUGUCAUUAAUUACUUACCCUCAUGUCGUUACAAACCCCUAAGACCUUUGUUCAUCUUCAAAAAAAAAAAAAAAUUAAGAUAUUUUUGAAGAAAUCCGAUGAUGAAUUUUUUUAUUAAACAAAGGUCUUAUUGAUGUGGAACAACAUGAGGGUAAUUAAUGACGGAAUUUUAACCUCAAAGUACCUUUUAUUAGGGGUGUAACGAUAAAUCGAUUAAUGGAUUGAUUCUGUGAUUUUCCUAAUGCAUCGCGAUUCUCUCAUGAAUCGAUUCUGAACUUAAUUUUUAGCUCUAGGUUAAUUUUUUACUGCACACUAAAAUGCUCACGAAGAAGACUGCUUGUGCGUUCAACUGAGUGGUUAAAUGUACUUGCACCUCUGCUUUUAUGAUACAAGAUUAAUGUAAACACA